UUAAGACAUGACAGUAACACUAAGAAGGACGGUGUGGUAUCAGAUUUCUUCAAUAGAAGAACUAGAGUAUGUAGGUUUAAACUACCCGGAUCUACAUUUGUAGAAACUGCACACCAGCAUGGUCAAGCACUCUUUGCUGGCACUGCUGAAAUUGAACGGUGAGGAAGACAAUUGUUUGGAACUCGAGCAAAGGAGCUUUUCCGCUG
rnacentral:lncRNA from 1 species